AUUGAACGCUGGCGGCAUGCCUUACACAUGCAAGUCGAACGGCAGCACGGGUGCUUGCACCUGGUGGCGAGUGGCGAACGGGUGAGUAAUACAUCGGAACAUGUCCUGUAGUGGGGGAUAGCCCGGCGAAAGCCGGAUUAAUACCGCAUACGAUCUACGGAUGAAAGCGGGGGACCUUCGGGCCUCGCGCUAUAGGGUUGGCCGAUGGCUGAUUAGCUCGUUGGUGGGGUAAAGGCCUACCAAGGCGACGAUCAGUAGCUGGUCUGAGAGGACGACCAGCCACACUGGGACUGGGACACGGCCCAGACUCCUACGGGAGGCAGCAGUGGGGAAUUUUGGACAAUGGGCGAAAGCCUGAUCCAGCAAUGCCGCGUGUGUGAAGAAGGCCUUCGGGUUGUAAAGCACUUUUGUCCGGAAAGAAAUCCUUGGCCCUAAUACGGUCGGGGGAUGACGGUACCGGAAGAAUAAGCACCGGCUAACUACGUG
rnacentral:rRNA from 1 species